AUCAGCAUGCUGCGGUGAAUACGUUCCCGGGCCUUGUACACACCGCCCGUCACACCAUGGGAGUCGGUAACACCCGAAGUCGGUAGCCUAACCGUAAGGAGGGCGCCGCCGAAGGUGGGAUUGAUGACUGGGGUGAAGUCGUAACAAGGUACC
rnacentral:rRNA from 1 species